CAAUAGCGUAUAUUAAAGUUGUUGCAGUUAAAAAGCUCGUAGUUGGAUUUCUGGUGGGAGGCACCGGUCCGGUCCGCAAGGACUGCGCACUGUUUGUGGUCUCCGGCCAUCCUUGUGGAGGGCGCGCCUGGCAUUAGGUUGUCGGGCGUGAGCUCCGCAUCGUUUACUGUGAAAAAAUUAGAGUGUUUAAAGCAGGCUUACGCCGUUGAAUACAUUAGCAUGGAAUAAUAAGAUAGGACUUUUGGUACUAUUUUGUUUGGUUUGGUCGCACCAACGUAAGUAGAUUAAUUAGGGACGAUUGGGGGUUAGGUUCGUUAUUCCGUUUAGUUCAGAGGUGGAAAUUACUUUGG
rnacentral:rRNA from 1 species